rnacentral:lncRNA from 1 species
GGCUUCGCUCUCCCGCGGUCUGGUCGUGCUGCGCGGGGUCUCGGCUCCCAUCACCGCCUCUGCACUGAGGGUCCCUGGAAUUCGGGUGCUCCCGCAUGAAAUGGAAGUGGAAGUACAACAUUUGCCUGAUUCUAGCUGUCAACAUUUUUAGGAAUCUAUCACCCUUCUACAUGGAGCUGAUCUGAGAUUAAAAUUCUGUGGGCAUCCAUCCAGAAAAACCAUGACAGGUUUCUGAGAGGACACAGUGGAGGAUGGAAGCCCUGGGAUGGAAAUUUCAGAAAAGCAGCUGCUGCUCCCAGAAGAACUAAAGCUGUGUGUCCACUGACAAAGAAAGGAGGGGACUCAGUCAAUUAUUUGGAAAAUCUGAGACAAGCCUGUACUGCACAACGCACAUGAGGAUGCAGGGCUGCUCCAGGGAUCGAACUCAGGACCUUGUGCUUGCAAAGCAGGCUCGGAGCCACUGCUGAGCUAAAUCCCCAGCCCUGAAUUAUUCUAUCUUUAAAGCAAGAAAUCCCACUGAACUUCUUUCCUCAACUUUGCAUUUGGUACCAAGAAACUAAGUUCUUCAAUUAUUUGUAUAUCUUGUUCAUGAAGCAUCAUCUAAUUUGAGAGGAAGGAGC